CUGCUUGGAUAGCGAGGCACGCUGCCAGAUGUUCUCUAGUAGCUGCCGGCGCCGAGGCGUACCGAGCAGUUCCAUACUGCUCAGAGGAGG
rnacentral:tRNA from 1 species